CCUACGGGUGGCAGCAGUGAGGAAUAUUGGUCAAUGGACGAGAGUCUGAACCAGCCAAGUAGCGUGAAGGAUGACUGCCCUAUGGGUUGUAAACUUCUUUUAUAUGGGAAUAAAAUGUUCCACGUGUGGGAUUUUGUAUGUACCAUAUGAAUAAGGAUCGGCUAACUCCGUGCCAGCAGCCGCGGUAAUACGGAGGAUCCGAGCGUUAUCCGGAUUUAUUGGGUUUAAAGGGAGCGUAGGUGGGUUGUUAAGUCAGUUGUGAAAGUUUGCGGCUCAACCGUAAAAUUGCAGUUGAAACUGGCAGUCUUGAGUACAGUAGAGGUGGGCGGGAUUCGUGGUGUAGCGGUGAAAUGCGUAGAUAUUAGGAGGAACACCAGUUGCGAAGGCAGUCUGCUGGACAGCAACUGACACUGAGGCGCGAAAGCGUGGGGAUCAAACAGGAUUAGAUACCCCAGUAGUC
rnacentral:rRNA from 1 species